GACGAACGCUGGCGGCGUGCCUAAUACAUGCAAGUCGUGCGGACCUUUUAAAAGCUUGCUUUUAAAAGGUUAGCGGCGGACGGGUGAGUAACACGUGGGCAACCUGCCUGUAAGACUGGGAUAACGCCGGGAAACCGGGGCUAAUACCGGAUCGUUUUUCCUCCGCAUGGAGGAAAAAGGAAAGGCGGCUUCGGCUGCCACUUACAGAUGGGCCCGCGGCGCAUUAGCGAGUUGGCGGGGUAACGGCCCACCAAGGCAACGAUGCGUAGCCGACCUGAGAGGGUGCUCGGCCCAAUUGGGACUGGGACACGGCCCAAACUCCUACGGGAGGCAGCAGUAGGGGAUCUUCCGCAAUGGACGAAAGUCUGACGGAGCACCGCCGCGGGAGUGAAGAAGGCCUUCGGGUCGUAAAACUCUGUUGCCGGGGAAGAACAAGUGCCGUUCGAACAGGGCGGCGCCUUGACGGUACCCGGCCAGAAAGCCACGGCUAACUACGUG
rnacentral:rRNA from 1 species